AGCUCCAAUAGCGUAUAUUAAAGUUGUUGCAGUUAAAAGGCUCGUAGUCGAAUUUUUAGUUUUAUAGAUUUGUCCCAUCUUUAUAGAUGUUUGUGACAAACUAAAGAAUUUUCUUUGUGGAAAUAAUCUUCUGCCCUUUACUGGGUUGGUUGAUUAGUCUACUUCAUUUACUGUGAGAAAAACAAGGUGCUCAAAGCAGGCUUUAUAGCUUGAAUGCGUUAGCAUGGAAUAAUAAGAUAGGACUUUGUUUCUAUUU
rnacentral:rRNA from 1 species